GACAGAGGAGGCGAGCGUUAUCCGGAGUCAUUGGGCGUAAAGGGUACGUAGGCGGCUAGUCAAGUCUGAGGUUAAAGACCACAGCUUAACUGUGGGAAGGCCUUGGAAACUGACUGGCUAGAGUGGGGCAUGGGAUGCGGGAAUUCCCGGUGUAGCGGUGAAAUGCGUAGAUAUCGGGAAGAACACCUGAGGCGAAAGCGCGCAACUGGGCCCUGACUGACGCUGAGGUACGAAAGCUAGGGGAGCGAAUGGG
rnacentral:rRNA from 1 species